GGAAGGACCUUUGUGGGGGGUUGACUGCUUGUCCCGCUUCUCAGUGUGAUGCUGCCGAGUGGGACAGCUGGAAACAAGACAGCAAAUGAGUUAACAGCAGAGGGAUUCACAGAGCAGUUACAGGGGAGUUGGGAUUACAGAGGAGUAAAGCCAUGCCUGAGGGAGAGAGGUCUGACCAAGGACAUACAGCAACACCAUGUCAUCACCCCUCUGUCACACAGCCUGGGCUGGUCCCAGCCAUAGCCCAGCACAGAUUGCAGAGUUUUCAUGCUGAAAAGCAGCUUCCAGGAGCACUUCCCAGGAGUGGCAGAGCUCAGUACCUCCAGACAAACGCACAAAAGACUGAGCAGUCACUGAAGAGAUGACUUUACUAAUGAUGAUGAUAGGAGGAAGUUGUGUUUGCAG
ensembl:lncRNA